CCUACGGGAGACAGCAGUGAGGAAUAUUGGUCAAUGGACGUGAGUCUGAACCAGCCAAGUCGCGUGAAGGAUGACUGCUCUAUGGGUUGUAAACUUCUUUUAUAUGGGAAUAAAAUGUGCCACGUGUGGGCUUUUGUAUGUACCAUAUGAAUAAGGAUCGGCUAACUCCGUGCCAACAGCCGCGGUAAUCCGGAGGAUCCGAGCGUUAUCCGGAUUUAUUGGGUUUAAGGGGAGCGUAGGUGACUUGUUAAGUCAGUUGUGAAAGUUUGCGGCUCAACCGUAAAAUUGCAUUUGCAACUGGAAGUCUUGAGUACAGUAGAGGUGGGCGGAAUUCGUGGUGUAGCGGUGAAAUGCUUAGAUAUCACGCAGAACUCCGAUUGCGAAGGCAGCUCACUAGACUGCAACUGACACUGAGGCUCGAAAGUGUGGGUAUCAAACAGGAUUAGAUACCCUUGUAGUC
rnacentral:rRNA from 1 species